rnacentral:ncRNA from 1 species
CCUGCCGAGGGGCGCUGCGACCGGUCAACCGGCCAGGCUCGGAGGGUGGCAAUGUAAAACGGCGCCCGGCUAGA